GAUAAGGAAGGGCCUUGAUCCUCUAUUUGACAUAAUUGAGAUUGCAAAACCCUAUGCACUGGAGUUGUUAAGAUUCCGUGAAGCUGGAGUUGAAGUUGCCUUGAAGGACUUCAGAAAGAUAUGGGACAGACAGCCCCGUGCAUUCUAUAACUUAUUUGGGCAGGCAGAUAGAGUUGAGAAGGUUGCUGAAACCAUC